rnacentral:rRNA from 1 species
UACGAAGGGGGCUAGCGUUGUUCGGAAUUACUGGGCGUAAAGCGUGCGUAGGUGGUUUGUUAAGUCUGUUGUGAAAGCCCCGGGCUCAACCUGGGAAUGGCAAUGGAUACUGGCAAGCUAGAGUGCGGUAGAGGGUAGUGGAAUUCCCGGUGUAGCGGUGAAAUGCGUAGAGAUCGGGAGGAACACCAGUGGCGAAGGCGGCUACCUGGACCAGCACUGACACUGAGGCACGAAAGCGUGGGGAGCAAACAGG